rnacentral:rRNA from 1 species
GAUGAACGCUGGCGGCGUGCCUAAUACAUGCAAGUCGAGCGAACAGACGAGGAGCUUGCUCCUCUGACGUUAGCGGCGGACGGGUGAGUAACACGUGGAUAACCUACCUAUAAGACUGGGAUAACUUCGGGAAACCGGAGCUAAUACCGGAUAAUAUAUUGAACCGCAUGGUUCAAUAGUGAAAGACGGUUUUGCUGUCACUUAUAGAUGGAUCCGCGCCGCAUUAGCUAGUUGGUAAGGUAACGGCUUACCAAGGCAACGAUGCGUAGCCGACCUGAGAGGGUGAUCGGCCACACUGGAAAUGAGACACGGUCCAGACUCCUACGGGAGGCAGCAGUAGGGAAUCUUCCGCAAUGGGCGAAAGCUUGACGGAGCAACGCCGCGUGAGUGAUGAAGGUCUUCGGAUCGUAAAACUCUGUUAUUAGGGAAGAACAAAUGUGUAAGUAACUAUGCACGUCUUGACGGUACCUAAUCAGAAAGCCACGGCUAACUACGUG